UACGGAGGGUGCGAGCGUUGUCCGGAAUCAUUGGGCGUAAAGGGCGCGUAGGUGGCCCGGUCAGCGUGCGGUGAAAUCUCGGGGCUCAACCCCGAGCGGUCGUGAGAAACUGGCGGGCUAGAGUGCGGGAGAGGAGAGUGGAAUUCCUGGUGUAGCGGUGAAAUGCGCAGAUAUCAGGAAGAACACCCGUGGCGAAGGCGGCUCUCUGGAACGCAACUGACGCUGAGACGCGAAAGCGUGGGGAGCAAACAGG
rnacentral:rRNA from 1 species